CACCCCCUCUGAUGGGCAUAUUUUUACUCAGAUAUGUUAAAAUCUUUAGUCUUUCUCUGGCCUAGGAGUUGGAUUAUCUUUUAAAGGUAACUAUUUUUUUUUGUUACGAUCCCUCAAUGUGAAACCUUAAUAGGUCACCAGAGAUUUGAAAUGAAUACUAUACUUAUCUAAGAUAAAUCUUGGAAGAUGCAGUUAGUGGGUAGCUUCUCUUUAUUAUUUAAAUAAUUUGAGGCAUCUGUUUUUUUAGAUUUGGUCAUUUUUCCAAAAAAGACUGAUUGAAAAGAGAAAGGGAAAGAAUACCAACAUUGACUAGAGAUCCAUCAGGCACUAUAUGAGGCACCUUCGAUGCCUCUUAAUUUGCACCUCAUGACCACUCUGUGAUGUUUUGGUAUUUUCAUUUUACAGAUGAGGAAAGACCCAGAGAAGGUAGGAGAAAGUUGCUGAAGGACACAUAUAGCUAAAGUGGUAGAAUCAGAAUUCAAGCCCCCAUAUGUCUGCUUCCAGGGCUCAUAUUCUACUUCCUUUAUUACCAUCUUUUUAAGAAAGUUAAGGAAAUGACACCAUGGAUAAUGCAUUCAAGAACUGACUACAUCUGCUGAUGUUAUACACAUACCAGUCAUUUGUGCCCCGCAGCGAUGGACACUGUAGUCUGUGGCUCUUGUCAGUGCUUCUCAGACUGUCUGAGGUGAUGGACCAAUUUCCCUCUAGUUCAUCACAAGUAAUACUUUUGUUAAGAUACACUAAAUUAUUAGAAAAAUGAAAUAAUCUUUGAAAGAAAAGACAUACAGAAUAUAAGCACGAUGAUCAUGUCAUGACAAUGUCAACUUGCCAUACAUAUUUUGAAAUGUCUAAUUUCUAUGUUGUCACAUACCAGCAGUAGUUUGACAGCACCAGUCGUUGAGCACACUUUGAGUAGCACUGGUCUACAUGUUAUUUUUCUAAGAUGCCAGUGAUCUUUUCAGGAAACAAAAGAAAUCCUGACCUUUUUCAAAUGUAAGUUUACAAUUUAAAAGAAUAGCAUCCUACACUGACUAUUGGAGAGAGUAUGGUAUAUAAUUUGUUAAAUGAUUAUAAAAUUGUUUACUUUUGUUGACACCUCUAAGAAGAAAAAGAAAAAUGAAAAUUAUGGAAUUUAUAACCUCUCUCAGCAGACUUUUGCACUUUAUGGAAUUCUCAUCGUCAUCAUUUUUUUCCAUCCUCUUCAACUUACGUUUCGCUUAAUUUUAUCUCUUAACUAACUCAUAUCCCCAACCACUUAAUGUUUACAAUGCAUGUUGGAAUUGAAUGCCUUACUGUACAGCUUACUAGAUAUAGGUAAAUAUGUAUAGUAUGGCACUGUAGAUUGAGAGAAUGGAAUAUGAUUAUAGAUUUAAAUGGCAAUAAAAUAAUAGAACUAGACCCUGGUUGGGGAAAUGAGACAGCGCUCCUCCUGCCCCGGGCUCUUUGCUACACAACAAUGGCAGUAUUUAUGGAGCACACACUGUGUGUCAGAUAACUCAUUUUAAACAUCAAUCACUUCCGUUUUACAGAGGUGGGUCCUGAGGCCCAGAGAUGUUAUAUAUGUGUGUGUAAGUUCUCACUGGCAGAGCUGGGACUCAAAUGCAAACAGUGUGACUCCAGGGCGCAUACUCCUAACCCCAAUAUUGUAAGGUCCUUGGGUUGCCAUCUAAAAACUGGGACUUUCCUGGAGCCACAGUGGGGGACAAGUGGUCUUAUAUUAGCUGCUUGAAGCAGAUGGCAGCUGGUUGAGAGUUAGGUACACAGCUGGACUGGCACUUAGCUGGACUGGUUCACUUUCCCCCCAUGUUAGACAUCAGCAAGUUUCCAGUUACUCCCUUAUAAGAAGCCACAGUUUGUCCUGGCAUAAUGUAAAUUACUUUCUGAGAUCUGACAAACCACUCCCCCUUUCACCCCUUUUCUGUCCCCACCUAGGCACCAGCCUCUCUCCCAACUGCCCCAUGGUUUGGAAUUCUUAAGCCAGAUAUUCUCAAGGCUUUGCUAAACAAGCCCAGGAGUGGUUUGGGGCUUCAGAAGUAGCCUUUGUCUUGUCUCCAUGCUCCAAAGGGCUGAAGAACUUCCAAAUGGAAAAUCACCUCUUUCUUCCCUACAGUCACUGUCAAAGCAUACCCUCAUUUUCAAAGAAUUAACAUAACCUUAAGCUCUAACCUCUCACACUGAAGCUGAGGAAACAGGCCCAGAGAUCUCCCGAAGGGAUCUCUUCCUGUAUACCCGUGCUGUCCAAUAUGGUAGCCUUGAGCCACGUGUGGCUAUUUAAAAUUAGAAACCUAAUUCCCCAGAAAAUUAGCCACAUGUCAGUUGUUUAAUAACCACAUAUGGCUUAUGGUUACCAUACUGGACAGUGUAAAUAAAGAACUUCCCAUCUUCCCAGUAAGUCCUACCGGACAGUGCUAUCCUACGAUGCCAUUGCCUUGGAUACAGAGCUGUGGGUGUGUCUGCUUUCCCCUCCUGAUUCCCAUGGCCCUGGCCAGAGUCCCUACCAACCUCUGGGUUUCCUGUGCAGAGUUAUCAGUCCAGCCAACUCACCUGCAGAGUGUAAAGGGUCUGGUGUACCUACAUUUCACAAAGCAUCAGGAAUUUGAAGGAUUUCUAGGAAUCUAGGAAUAUCUAGAAAUCCUAAAUGGAAAUACAACCACACACAUACACAUAUCAGGUAUGUAUGGUAAUGGUUCAGGCUGGGCUGCUUUAUGGCUUCCUCUGCCACAACAGAUGCAGGGAAUGGCCUCCCUGCCUCCUGGGGUGGGGGAAGGUGCUAAGCGGACCAGGGCUUUGACAUUAGGAAGAUUUGAGUUUGAAUCCUGGCUUUAUGACCUUGAUCUCAUAACUUAAACUGUUAGCUUCAGAAUUCUGUUUAAAAUGGGGAUAGUGACAGGAACACCUCCAGUUUUUGUUAAGGGCAAAAUGAUAAUCUCAUCAGCAUACUACAAGAACCCAAUAUCCACGAAUGUGGUUCCCUUUUUCUAGAUUCCCUGCUGAACUCCAAAUUGGCCGAGAGGAAUAUUGCCUAAGUAAUGGUCUCAGUACCUCAGCAGUACUGGAAGGAACUGCCAAUUAGAGGGAAGCUAUUAGCCAACUAUCCACUUCAUAUGACCCAUGGCAGGAUUAAUAAGCCAGUAAAGCAGGGUUGCUCUUCCUGUGAAUUCCUUAACACUUUUCAUGAGGUUUACUGCCUGCUGGACAAUGUAUGUAUUAUAAUCUAUUCCUAAGACUUGAGGAAUAGUUUAAUAAUUAGCAAUUAACCGCUUUGGAUCCACACAAGCUCAGCACUCGAUAAUUUUCUGUUUCUACAACCAUAGGAGAAAGAGUAGGAAGUAAGUCAUUAAGGCAGUGAUUACCAGCCUGGGCUCUGUGACACCCCUGCGUGUGUUGAGGGAUCUCAAGAGGGGUUACAAAAUCUCAAAUCAAAAUUUAAUUUGAAUUCACUUUAAUAUUUUUUAAGGUAGCAUAUGGCACUUUGGGGACAGGAAGAAAAAGUCACAAAGUCCACAAACCCAUGAAGGUGUCAGCUCACAAGGCUGGAAAUGACUGCAUUAUUGAUUCUGCUGUCACAGUAAAUGUUCCAUAACAAAGGCAUGUUGAAUUUGGUCUCAUUCAUUACAGAGUAUAGGACUUUUGUUUGGUCAUAUCUUUAUCAUUUAAGAAACAUUUAAAAAUGGUAUUUAUUUUUAUUUCAAUAUGUCAACUGUGCAUUUCCAAAACAGCAGGCUUUUCAAAGGAAUAAAUCAGAACUGUAA
rnacentral:lncRNA from 1 species